UACGUAGGGUGCAAGCGUUAUUCGGAAUUACUGGGCGUAAAGCGUGCGCAGGCGGUUUUGUAAGUCUGUAGUGAAAGCCCCGGGCUCAACCUGGGAAUUGCGAUGGAGACUGCAAGGCUUGAAUCUGGCAGAGGGGGGUAGAAUUCCACGUGUAGCAGUGAAAUGCGUAGAGAUGUGGAGGAACACCGAUGGCGAAGGCAGCCCCCUGGGUCAAGAUUGACGCUCAUGCACGAAAGCGUGGGGAGCAAACAGG
rnacentral:rRNA from 1 species